CAAAGUGUGAGGGCAUAUAUUACAUGAAGAGUACUGCAAUAGAAUAUACUACUGAUGUUACCGUUGCAUGCAAACACAGAGUAACGGUGUUACAGAUGAUCACAUAGGGUGCAAGCAGAGCUAUCACGCAUAUCCGAAGCUCAUGAUAAGAGGUUGGCUUGCCUGGGGGUCAACGAAUACACCGUGAAGAAGCGCACUACGACACUGAGAAAAUUUACUGGAGAGGGUUCUCUUUCGAAGGGCUCGAUCAAAGGGCAAUGGAAAAACGGUCAUUUAUACCGUGCAAACAUACCAUGAAAAUAAUAUAGUUGAGACGGGCUCAGCGAGACGAAGACGUGAGCGCUGGUUUUACCUCAAUCGGAGCUACGAGCGCAAAGUUAUGCAUGUUCGUUGUUUAGGCAGAAAAACAAAUAAAAACCUGUUCAUUCCCGUCUAACGAGCGAACGUCCAUAACUUAGGCAGUUCGGCCGGCGGAGUUUUAAAGCAGAAAGCAUAUUUCAGAGAAUACGCUUUUGGUAAACCGAAAGCGCAUUUCGCCGACUACGCCUCCACUUAAAACGCGCGGUCCCGGGGGGUUGACCGUUCUCUCACUUACAUGUGGGGACCACCUUAUCCACUCCCUCCCUCUCACUUACACGCGAGGCCUAGCCCUGCUUCUCUCUCUCCUCCCGGGCUCCUUCUUCUAUCUCGUGCUAUCGAGCAGAGGAGGCCGAGCCGCCGGUGCAGCCGGCGACUGGAGGCCGCGGGAGGGAAGGUCGGCGGGAGCAGGGGCUCCGCCAGCCCACGCCGCGCUCGCAGGCGGUCGAGGGGGAAGCCGGGCUGGCCUACAGCUGUGCCGCCACAGCAGAGACGCCAUGGCCGGCGGUCACCUCGCGGAGGAGCACUUGCAGGGCCUGCCCGUCGGAGAGGAAAGCGGCGGCGACAUCACCAGGGCUAGGAAGUGCCCUGACCGAGGAGAGGGGCGAGGGGGAGCGCUCUGGAGCGGACAUUACCAUGGGGUCCGAUGGGGGUCUCGGCCAUUGGAGAGGCAAAGAGCUCCAUGAGCUCAAUUAGGAGGGGGAACUGGGGCUGCUGGUGCUUGCGAGCUCGGGGAGGGGCUCGGGCACCCUUAAACAGCAUCAGGAGGGAGCUCUCGCGACAUCGGGAGAAGCUCCG
rnacentral:lncRNA from 1 species